GUUCCUGUAGAGCAAUGAAUAGCGCGUUGGAUUUCUAAUCCAGUGGACUUGGGUUCGAAUCCCACUUGGAAUG